UGAGAUUUUUUUUAAACCUGAUGUCACAUCCAGGACAAACAAGAGAAGUCCUUUUAACCAAAUAGGACUCCUAUAUAACAAGAGUCUUUGAGAAGAGAGUCGUAUGACCUAAGAUGUCCCCUCCAACUACUUUGAUAUAAUGGCACAUGGAAGUGUGUCAUAAAGUGGGAGAAAAAGUGCAAGAAUUCCUCAAGACCCAUAUGUAAGGUUUUCUAUAAUUCACUUUGUAUGCUACAAUUGUUUGCCCUGCAUAGUGCCAGGAAGAUAUAAAAAUGUGAAAUGAACAAAUAUUGUUUAAGAGUUUAAAGAUACUUUGGAUGUCAUGACUCCAAUAAUAUUACCUUACAGAUCAACACCUGUGUUAGUCCAUUCUCAUGCUGCUAUGAAGAAAUACCUGAGACUGGGUCCAACACCAUAUGGAAGCUGCCAAGGCUUGAAGCAAUGGCCUAAGCUGGAUCUCGACCCCUUUUAGCCACAGCUGAAACUGGAAUGGCUGGGAUGCAGGACACCAAGUCCCAAGGCUGCACAGAGCAACAGGUCCCUGGGCCAGGCCCAGCAUUAGGCCUAUCAAGUGUCAUGCACAGCUCAAGAGGAAAUGCUAUCUGGAAAUCCCCCAACUCCCAUGGAAAUUCCCAGCUGGCUCCCUGUACACUGCAGAUACCUGAAGUGGUUUUGAAGACUGGGCAGCUAAGACCUAAGUGAAGAAGAAUUCCUCCCCUGCAAGGAUGACCAAGAACCCAGCCGCUCUGUUUCCUUCCCGACUGGAGUCCUCUUCUCCACUGAUCUUCAGGCUCGUGUGGAAAAACCGAUAAAAUAGAAAAAGCAAUCGGAAGAAUAUAAAAAUCACUGAUAAUCCCGCCACCUAGAGAAAACUACUGUUAGUAUUUUGAGUGUAUUUCCCUCCAGCUUUUUUCUAUAUAUGUGUAUGUAUUUAUAAUAUAUAAAUAAUAUACUAUAUAUUAAUCAAAUACUAUAUAUA
rnacentral:lncRNA from 1 species